ensembl:lncRNA
UAUAGCCACAGCUUUUGGAGUCUCUCCAGGCUUACAGGAGUUAUUGAAAAUCAGUUCUGUAUCUUCAGAUGACUCUCUUAAUUUGUACUCGAAAGAUUUUAUUUUAAUAAGGGCUUUCUAAGUGAUAAUAGGAGAGGGAAAGGAUUGUAUCAGAUUUUUGGGAUGAUUAGACUUUCUCAUUUCUUUUCCAAAUUUGAGCUAGAAGCACUCAUGGUUGUUAGGUCCUGCUAAUAAGACUACUGACAUAUUAUUAUGUAUUAUUAUUAGUAUGCUCUUUACUGUUUGACAGAUAUUUUUAUCAGAGGCUGGUCCUGGGGUGUCUUGGAUCUCAUAUUUAUGGUUCUUUCAUGCUAUUCUGAUUGUCUUUUCUUUGACAGAUACUGGGAUGUCUUGGAUCUCAUGUUUCGUAUUCUUACAUGCUAUUCUGAUUGUCUUUCCUCCUCUCUUUGUAUUAAAAUUUGUGUCUAAGUGGAAGCCAGGCAAACUGUAGAAACUAAGUGCUUCCACUUUGCAAUUUGGAAAUCUCAACUCCUUUUUGUAUCAGCAAGUUUUUAUAGUAAAGCAGGUUGUGUUUAAAGUUGUGACCUUCAGAUAUGAAACUGCUGGAGAGCCUGGCAACCUCUGGCUGCACUGGGGAUAUCUCCUGGUAAAGCUUUUCAGGGUGCUCCUGAAUCCUGAGUUCUGGACAUGCUGUGCAUCAUGGGAGCCAGAAGAUUUUGAACAACCUAAUAGACAAGCAGCAAGUUUGCUUUUCUCAGACACUAAAAAUUCUUUCACUGUGAAGGAACUGAUGGAAUUAACCUCACCCACAAAACCCUCUGAGCUGAUCUGAGAAUGAAUUUCAGAUAACAGUAAUGGCUACACCACAUACAAUAUGGUUGCUUUGCUGCCCCUGAGCUGAAACAUCGCCUCUGCCUAAACUCUAAACUAACCUUAGG